GACGAACGCUGGCGGCGUGCUUAACACAUGCAAGUCGAACGGAAAGGCCCCCAUCUUGGUGGGGGUGCUCGAGUGGCGAACGGGUGAGUAACACGUGGGUGAUCUGCCCUGUACUUCGGGAUAAGCUUGGGAAACUGGGUCUAAUACCGGAUAGGACCAUGGUUUAGUGUCUCAUGGUGGAAAGAUUAUUGUUUUGGUGCAGGAUGAGCUCGCGGCCUAUCAGCUUGUUGGUGGGGUAAUGGCCUACCAAGGCGUCGACGGGUAGCCGGCCUGAGAGGGUGGACGGCCACAUUGGGACUGAGAUACGGCCCAGACUCCUACGGGAGGCAGCAGUGGGGAAUAUUGCACAAUGGGCGCAAGCCUGAUGCAGCGACGCCGCGUGGGGGAUGACGGCCUUCGGGUUGUAAACUCCUUUCGUUAGGGACGAAGCCGCACUUCUUUUGGGUGUGGUGACGGUACCUUUGUUAAGAAGCACCGGCUAACUACGUG
rnacentral:rRNA from 1 species